rnacentral:rRNA from 1 species
UACGAAGGGGGGCUAGCGUUGUUCGGAAUUACUGGGCGUAAAGGGCGCGUAGGCGGCCUGUUUAGUCAGAUGUGAAAGCCCCGGGCUCAACCUGGGAACCGCAUUUGAUACUGGCAGGCUUGAGUUCCGGAGAGGAUGGUGGAAUUCCCAGUGUAGAGGUGAAAUUCGUAGAUAUUGGGAAGAACACCGGUGGCGAAGGCGGCCAUCUGGACGGACACUGACGCUGAGGCGCGAAAGCCAGGGGAGCAAACGGG